rnacentral:rRNA from 1 species
CAUGGCAGGAACUUACCAGAGAUGGUUUGGUGCUCGAAAGAGAACCUGCACACAGGUGCUGCAUGGCUGUCGUCAGCUCGUGUCGUGAGAUGUUGGGUUAAGUCCCGCAACGAGCGCAACCCUUGCCAUUAGUUGCUACAUUCAGUUGGGCACUCUAAUGGGACUGCCGGUGACAAACCGGAGGAAGGUGGGGAUGACGUCAAGUCCUCAUGGCCCUUAUAGGUGGGGCUACACACGUCAUACAAUGGCUGGUACAAAGGGUUGCCAACCCGCGAGGGGGAGCUAAUCCCAUAAAGCCAGUCGUAGUCCGGAUCGCAGUCUGCAACUCGACUGCGUGAAGUCGGAAUCGCUAGUAAUCGUGGAUCAGAAUGUCACGGUGAAUACGUUCCCGGGUCUUGUACACACCGCCCGUCACACCAUGGGAGCGGGUCUCGCCAGAAGU